ensembl:lncRNA
UCACAAGGUGCACCUGAGAGCUUUCUGGAGGGCUUUCUCACUGUUUCUGAUGACUCCUAGGAAUGUUCAGGCUUGAGCUCUGGGUGCAAAGAGACCAUGUUCCAAGUCAGUGUCCCAUAACGAAAGAGAAGGGAGAAAAAGGCCAUAACCAGCCUGGCUCCAAAGAGGAUUGGGGGACAGGAAGGAUGGGAGCUCCAGGGAAGUCUGGGCCCCACAUUCCUUUCUGAACUUCCCUCUGAAGCUCCCGGGGUGGGCAGGACCACCCAUCUGCCUAUCAAAGGCUGAAAUUCAGAGCCUGAGCCAAACAGCAAGAAAGGCUUCUUUACCAUGUUAUUUUGCAAAGUAAAUACAUCUUUACAGAGGAGACUUGCUCUUACAAGUCCCCAUACCACCUGCUAUAGAGGUCGAAGGGGAGCUGCUGUUCUCAGGACUAGAUGUUGAUUCAAUCCUGAUGGACUCGAUUAGGUUCUGGAAAUUAGGAUGCAGCUAUCUCUAAGAGAGACUUCAUUCUACCUUCACCCUAGGCGUAUGAAGAACCAGGAAAUCUCAGCUCACGUGAAAACAAUCAGCAGAUGCCAAUGCUAAGGUGAUGCAGAUGUUGGAAUUUUCUGACAAAGACUUUAAAACAAAUAUUAUGAAAUAUUCCACAGAGCAAGGGACAGCACUCUUGAAUGGAAAGAGAAAGUGUUGGCAGGGAAACCGAAAGUAUAAAUAAGAUCCAAAUGUAAAUUUUAGAAUUAAAACAUACAAUAGCUGAAAUUCUAAAACCUAGAUAAACCAAUUGAAAUUAUUCAAUCUGAACAACAUAGAAAAAGAUUUUUUUAACAGAGCCUCAGGGACCAGUGAGAUUAUACCAAGAUGUCUUAACGUUCAUGUCAUUCAAGUCUCAGAAGAAGAGAAAAAAAUACGAGGCAGAAAAAAAAUACUAGAAACAAUAAUGACGGAAAACUUCCCAUAUUUGGCAAAAGACAAAAACCUACAGAUUCAAGAAUCUCAGAGAACUCCAAAUGGGAAAAACACAAAAAAUCCAUGACUAGACAUAUCAUACGGAGAAGGCAAUGGCAACCCAUUCCAGUACUCUUGCCUGGCAAAUCCCAUGGACGGAGGAGCCUGGUAGGCUGUAGUUCAUGGGGUUGCUAGGAGUCAGACACAAUUGAGCAACUUCACUUUCACUUUUCAGUUUCAUGCAUUGGAGAAGGAAAUGGCAACCCACUCCAGUGUUCUUGCCUGGAGAAUCCCAGGGACGGGGGAGCCUGAUGGGCUGCCAUCUCUGGGGUCACACAGAGUCAGACACGAGUGAAGCGACUUAGCAGCAGCGGCAGCAGACAUAUCAUAAUCAAACUGCUAAAAACCAAGAUGAAAAAAACUAUUGAAAGAAGCCAGAAAGAUGAUAUACUGUCUAUAAGAAAAUAAUUCAAACAAUUGUAGAUUUCUUAUAAAAAAUCAGGAAUAUGCAAAUAUAAAUAAGCUGCAAACUUUUGCCCAUCAAAUUAGCAGAAAGUGUUGAAAUCAUUACUAUCUAGUGUUAGGAUACAAAAAUAUGUUAGUGGCAAAAGAAAUAAAGACAACAUUUAUUUAAAAAAAAAACAAAACAACAACAUUUAUGAGCUUCCCUGAUAGCUCAGUUGGUAAAGAAUCCGCCUGUAGUGCAGAAGACCCAGGUUUGAUUCCUGGGUCGGGAAGAUCCUCUGGAGAAGGGAUAGGCUACCCACUCCAGUAUUCUUGGGCUUCCUUGUGGCUCAGCUGGUAAAAAAUUUGCCUUCAAUAUGGGAUAUCUGGGUUCGAUCCCUGGGUUGGGAAGAUACUCAGGAGAAGGGAAAGGCUACCCACUCCAAUAUUCUGGCCUGGAGAAUUCCAUGGACUGUAUAAUCUAUGGGGUCACAAAGAGCUGGACACGACUGAACAACUUUCACUUCACUUUAUAAAAAACAAUUAGGUAUCAUCUACCAAAACUUUAAAUCUGUAUACCUUUUAAUCCUCAAUUCCACUUCUGAAAAUUUAUCCUACAGAAAUAUUGUAUCAGUGCUCAAAGAUGUUUUAUUGUGGCCUUGUGUGUAAUGGCAAAUAAAUACAUUAAUAAACACUAUAAACAAUUAGUGAUGAACUAUUACUUAAAUAAAUUAUAGAAUACCACACUAUUAGAAUAUAAUAUGGGGCUUCCCAGGGAGCUCAGCUGGCAAAGAAUCUGUCUGCAAUGCAGGAGACCCCAGUUCAAUUCCUGGGUCAGGAAGAAGGGAGAAGGGAUAUCCCCCCUGGAGAAGGAAUAGGCUACCCACUCCAGUAUUCUUGGGCUUCCCUGGUGGCUCAGAUGGUAAAGAAUCUGCCUGCAAUGUGGGAGACCUGGGUUUGAUCCCUGGGUUGGUAAGAUCCCCUGGAGGAGGGCAUGGCAACCCACUCCAGUAUUCUUGCCUGGAGAAUCCCCAUGGACAGAGGAGCCUAGAAGGCUAUAGUCCAUGGGGUCACAGAGAGUUGCACACAACUGGGCGACUAAGCACAGCACAGCACAGAAUAUAAUAUAACCUUUUAGAACAAUUAUAUUGGAGCCAAGUCUAUUGGCGUUGAAAGAACACAUGAUGUAAAUGUGAAAGGAUAAAAUGUUUGUUCCCCUUGGUCGGGAAACUAAGAUCUCACGUGCAACGCAGCCAAAAAACAAAAGUUGAUUUGUCAUAGGUUGAGCAACACUUAUGCGAAGGGUGUUGAUUAAACCAUCGUUGUCAAAGAAUACAUGGUAUGAAUGUUAAGUGAUAAAGACAUUUGUCAAAUACACACAAACUGGGUUUUGUAAUUGUAUAUGUGUGUGAUUAUAAUUGACGGGAAAGAUUUAGAAAGAUAAAAACCCAACUGAUAUCAGCAGUUGCUUCUGAGGAAUAAGAUAAGAAUAGAAUAGGUACUUGUGCUUUUUACUUCCUGUGUGAAUAUGUGUGGGUGGUUUAGCAAAGGACGAUUAUCAUUAUUGACAUUUUAAAACAUGGUAAAAGGCCUAUCCAUAUAAGUCAUAGCAAUACUCUCUAGAGUUCUCCUAAGAAAUUAACUAGCUCGUCUUUUACUGUUUGCUGGGAAUUUGGCAUUUUAUUCACUGUCCUUAAGGAAACCCAAACAACAUAUUCAGCAUCUCCUAGUGUAUAAGUUUUCUACUGCUGUAUAGUGAAUUAUCUCAAAACAACAAAAUUUAUUAUCUGAUGUAGUUUCUGGGGAUCAGGAACCCAAGAGUAUCUUGGCUGGGUGCUUCCAGCCAGGGUUUCUCAUGAAACUAUAGUCAUCUGCAGGUUUGAUCGGGAAAGGAGGGUCCACUCACCGGUCCCUCCCAUAGCUGUCAGUAAGAGGACUUGUUUCCGCGCUGGCUGUGGUCAGAGACUGCAUUCUCCAUCACACCGUCUUCAUUGUAGUCUGCUCACAGCUGGCAACUGACCUUCCCUCAAGUGAUUGGUUAAAGAUUUGAGUGACCAAGAUGGAAACCGCAAUGGCUUUUAUAACCUCAUCUUAGAAGUGACAUACGGUUACUUCUGCUAUAGUCCACUGGUCACACAGACUUACCCUGCUACAAAUAUGGUGGGAGAAUACACAGGAAUGUGGGUACCAGAAGUCAGGGAUCACUGAGGGCUCUCUUGAGGUCUCACUACACAGUUAAAUUUUUCCCCGCUGUCUCCCCUUCCUAAGUUCAUAGACCUUCUAAGAGGUUAUAAAGUACAACUCUAUCCCUACAGCAUUACUGGUGAAUUCAGGGGUCCUGGAGCAUCCAGCCUUCCACGGAAAGAGAACCCUAUGGAGUAAUAGGAAACUCCCACUCACAGAGACCCAACCUUUUCCUGUGAACAAGAGAGUUUGAUUCCCCUGAAGUGUGAUGGGCUUUCCUGAUGACUCAGGCAGUAAAGAAUCUGUCUGCAAUGCAGGAGACCUGGGUUCAAUCCCUGGUCUGGAAGAGACCCUGGAGAAGCAAAUGGCAGUCCACUCCAAUAUUCUUGCCUGGAAGAUCCAGUGAGAAGGGAAUGGCAACCCACUUCAGUAUUCUUGAUGGAGAAUUCCACAGACAGAAGAGCCUAGUGAGCUACAGUCCAUAGGAUUGCAAACAGUUGGACAUAACAGAGUUACUAACAAAUUGUGAUAAUUGGGCUUCCCUGGUGGCUCAGACAGUAAAGAAUCUCCCUGUAAUGCAGAAGACCUGGGUUCGAUCCUCAGGUCAGGAAGAUGCCCUGGAGAAGGGAAUGGCUACCCACUCCAGUAUUCUUGCCUGGAGAGUUCCAUGGACAGAGGAGCCUGGGGAGCUAUAGUCCAUGGGGUCGGACACGACUGAGUGACUAACACUCUCACUUUUUCAAAGUACGAUCAUUAAGAAGAGUUGGGAAAACUACAAAUGUCAAUAAUUGGUCAAAGACAAAAACAUGAGAACAGCCAGGUGCCUCAAAGACAAUCCCUUCAACAGGUGCUCACACCAUUUGCUCCCACUCUUCGGCCCAAACUGUCAUCUUUAUAAUUCAGAACAGUUGUUUCUUCUCCCGAGUGAAAAUUCCCAUAAGCCAUGGAGACAAGGAAGUGGAAAUGCUUGCCAGCUUAUAUUGAUAAAUCAAUAUAAAUUAAUGAAACUCAACUGCUACUGAGAAAAUAUUAGCAGGCAAUCGAUAAAAUGUGGAGGUUAAAGUAUACCUAUGUCUCUACACAAGAACAAUAUGAAGUACUCCAAGGCACAGCAUAACUGAGAAUUUGGAAAAGAAUUUUCUAAUAUGUACCUGCUUGCAAAAGAUGUGUAUUAU